rfam:Schistosoma mattheei strain Denwood, Zambia genome assembly, scaffold: SMTD_scaffold0003088
AUGGAGCUGACGAGUCCCAAAUAGGACGAAACGCGCAUCCUGGAU